CAGCCCUGCCUUGCCUUAAGCCACGAAUGUGAGGGCUCCAGAUACAUCUGUGGACGUCACUGAGAUGCGCCUGGGCUGCCUUCUCAUUUCUGGCCUCUGUGCUUCUGAGAGCCCUCUUCUCUCAAUUGAAGCCCCCUUUCUACCCCUGCCAUUCUUUUGCCCUUCCAAUUCCUGUAUCCUAGGAGUAAGGCUGGAGAAUGAGUGGAAAGAAGACACCUUUGCUUGGGAAUCUUUCAGAUGCCAGCUGGCAUGGGUUUUUGCCCUGGCUUUGAGCUGAGCCUCAGCCAAGGACUGAUCCCCUGCCUGCAGCAGGUAGGUCCUGGUCAUGCCAGGGAGGCCCCUCUGUCUAGAUGGGAGGGAAUGUCCACAUCCCACUGCAGGAAGACCCAGUAAAGGCCCAUCUGUGUCCAGCAUCUUCUGUGCGCCAGGCUUUUCCUCACUCAACCCUGAUCCCAAGUUACAUGGUUAGCACUCUUAACCCCAUUUUACAGAAGAGAAAACAGAGGCUUGGAGAGACUUAACCACCAUCCCAGGAUUGCACACAGAAACCUAGAGAGUGUUGGUACCUGGGUCCAAUGUCGCAGCUGUUUCUGCUUUCUGGGUCACCUGGGCAAGCCAUGCCCCCUUCUCUGGAGCUUUGGUAACCCAGAAGCACAAAAGGAGGCUGUGAGUGAACUAGUCAGUGGUUCUCAAGCUUGGGUGCACAUCAGAAAGUUCUGGAGGGCUCGUUACAACACAGAUCACCGGGCUCACCCCCAGCAAUGAAUUGCUGAUUCAUUAGGUCAGGGAUGGGGCCCAAGAGUGUGCAUUUCUGACAAGUUCCAGGGAGAUGCUGUUGCUGAUGGUCCAGGGACCACACUUUUGAGAACCACGUGGCUGGAUGAACUCAGAUUCUUUUGAGUAGUGACAUUGAAUGGCUUCUUCCAAGUACUGCUGAGUCCGCUGGUUUCCCUUGUGAUCCAUGACCCACUUCCCCAGUGACUCUGCUCACAUGGGUCCUGACAGAGAUGAUGUCCUGCGAGUUUUCUGGCAAACCCAGAGGAGAGGUCCAGAGAGUGGAUCCGGGGGCUUUGCAGCAAUGGAGUGGGCUUUCAGCAAACUCAAACAUGGCACAGGUUCCAUGAUGGCCAGAGCCAGCUCUUGGAGUCUCUCCUCUUCUUGCCUUUGUCCCUAGCACUGAGCUCAGUGCCUGGACAUAGUAGCUGCCCAGCAGAUAUAUGAUGGCUAAAUGUAAACUGGAUGUCUCACAGUGUGUUCAGGAUAGAGCCAGGAUAGAACCUGGCUCUUCUGGGAGAGAACACCAGUGCCUGCUUUGGGCUGACAAGUCCUUUAUGUGUGCAUUAAUGCUGUGCGAUUGGAAGGGCUGGAGUUGGAGGUGAGAGCAAACCUACAGAAAGGGGCCAUUAGGUGUGGUCUCUACAAAGCAGGGCAGGGGACAUACACCUGUCAGGUCAUCACUGUGUCCCUGGUGCUCACACCAUGCCUGUCCCAGAAACAGGCUUCAUAACUAUUGUCAGAUUAGCAGAUGAAAGAGGUAGGUUCCUAACUCAGGGCUGAGAUGGGCCUCCGGGGGCCUGUGACCCUUUGAAAUGGUGAGCACGCUGAAGAGAUCACAGCUCUAUGAGGGGCUAUGUCACACGACAGGUCCUAUGGAGCACUAAUGCCCUUCUGGUCUUCACAAAGUUAAUCAGAUCUCUUUCUUACAGACCUUUUCAGAGCCUUUAAUAUGCUAAUAAACUCUGGGAUUCCCAGAGGGGAUUAAGAGUGCUGAGUUGCCCAGUGGUAUUGACCAGGGGAUGCUUUUAUCAGUGACUAUUUUGUGGCAUUCUUGGUCUGCAGGACACACUGACGUGGAAUCAGGUCACAAACUGCUGUCUCACAGGUCAAAUCCAGCUUCAGAUAUUUUUCACUAGGCCAUUGUAGGGUUUUAAAAGGCAAUAACUCUUACUUAAACAUUUUUAUUUUUAUUUUUUAAUUUUUAUUUAUUUAUUUAUUUUUUUGAGACAGAGUCUCGCUCUAUCGCCCAGGCUGGAGUGUAGUGGGGCGAUCUUGGCUCGCUGCAACCUCCACCUCCUGGGUUCAAGCGAUUCUCCUGCCUCAGCCUCCCAAGUAGCUGGGACUACAGGGCCCACGUCACCAGACCCGGCUGAUUUUUUUUUAUUUUUAGUAGAGACGGAUUUCAUGUUAGCCAAGAUGGUCUCCAUAUCCUGACCUCAUGAUCCGCCCACUUCGGCCUCCCAAAGUGCUGGGAUUACAGGCGUGAGCCACCGUGCCCGGCCAAACAUUUUUAAAAACUAAACUUGCAGUUUUGCUCUAAGAAAUAAGAAGUGUGCAUUCUGGGCCCACAUUCCUGCCUGGCGAUAACUGUAGAGCAGGAAGGGCCUUUGCUCUGCUGUUUGCCACAGUUCCCACCAUGCCCUACUGCCUUGCACUCUGUUCAGUUAUAUAUUUACCUUCCUUGUCUGGCCCUAAGCCUUCUCAGUUUGCUAGCAGCGACCCAGAAUGUCACCUGCCAUCCCAGCAAGCUGAGCUUUGCCCUGGAGGGGCAUAUGAAUGUCUGAAUCUCCUUACUGGCUCGGACAUUUUCUAGGGAAGGAAGGGACCCCGAGGGAUGGCUCCAGGGAAGGGUGUCUGGGCUUGCCUGGGGAGAGCAAACAGCUCCAGUGACAGCCCCCAGCCUGGGCAGGAUAAAGGGGAAGGGAGAGAAAGGGGCAGCUCAAAUUUCCUUUUAGAGGUCUUUUUGCUGUGGGGGAGCAGGGGAGUGAAGGGGAAGGUUGGGGGUAGGGAGGUGGGUGGGGGUAGGGAGGAGGAACAGGGCCUGAGACUGGCUCAUACCUCCCCAGAAGCUAAUUGUUUUGCCUCCUUCUGUGUGAGAGGUCACAGCUGGGCACACUACUAGGGGGAAUCUUGAGGAGCUCACGGGCUGCAGCUGCUGACGCAGGGCUGUGACCACCUGGCUGGGGGCCUAGGGCUGGCAUAAAACUGGGCACAGGGUCUGGGUCAAAUUUCAGGAUCUACAUGGCCAGAAGUUCAAACUGAAACAGGAAUAUGAUUGUCCUGAGCUAUAAUUUGAAUGCUUCCUAUAUUAGUAUAGGUGUGUUAAGCCUUUAAUAAAAUUUCUUAUUUAAUUUAUUUUAUUUUAUUUUAUUUGAGACAGGGCCUUUUUCUGUAGCCUGGGCUGGAGGGCAGUGGUGUGAUCAUAGCCUACUGCAGCCUUGAACUCCUGGGCUCAAGUGCUCAGAUGAUCCUCCUGCCUUAGCCUUCCAAGUAGCUGGGGCUACAAGCACACACCACCACACCUGGCUCGUUUGUUUAUUUUUAUUUUUUUGUAGAUACAGAAUCUCACUAUGUUGCCCAGGCUGGUCUCAAACUCUUGGGCUCAAAUGAUUCUUCCUGCUUGGCCUUCCAAAGUGCUGGGAUUACAGACAUGAGCCACCGUGCCUGGCCACGUCAAGCCUUUUGCGUGCAGUAGAUGAGCGGUUCUCAAAGUGUGGCCCCUGGACCUGCAGCAUUAGUAUUACCUCGGAGCUCGUCAGUAACGCAAACUCUGAAUGAUAAUUGUGAAGGUGGGGUCCAGCAGUCUGUGUUUGGAGGAGCCCCAGAGAUGGUUCCUGUCUAGUUCAUUUCAUUCUCACCACUGUGAGGCAGGCAGUGCAGUGGCCUUGAUUUUGUAGAUGCAGAAACUGAGGCAGAAGGAGGCAAAGUGACUUGCUGUGAGGACUGGAGCCCAGGCUGGUGUCAACCCAGAGCCCCAGUCUGGGACCCGCCUUCCGUGGUCCUCCCUGAAGCCAUCACCUUUCCUGGACAAGCUCCUAAAUGGGCUCAGGGCUUGUACUCUCCAAGAAGCCUUCAUGGAGGCCCCCGUUCCUCAGUCUCUGGAACGUUCCUCUUGCUCCUUAAUCACUGGUGCCUCACACCCCUGUUAAAGCACGUUUCCUCCUGGCCCACAAGCUCUCGGGGGUCGGGGGCACACGUUUGGUUUGUCUUGUCCCCUUCUCCCCUGCCAGGUGUGCUCCUUCCAUGCCUGGCACCCACAGGCCUCAUGGUGAAUGGCAGAGCAAGAGGAGGCCGGCUGCAGACCCCACUUGGGGCUGUGUCUGGGCCGGGCUGGGGGCGGCUGUGUGAAAGGCCGUCCUGUUUGAGCUGCUGCUGCUGUUCACGCCCGGCCCAUGUGCUCAUGUCCUGUGUGGGGCUUAGGUAAUGGGGCAGCAGGUGGCGGAACAGGGACCCGGGUGAGGCUGGCCCAGCCCUGCUGCAGGAUGAGCCGACUUUUCCAGGCCCCACUGAGUGCCGGUUCCUCCCACCGUCUGGCCCAGGUGCCAACACAAACAUGGGGCUCUUCCCUCCGGGGCUCUGGCUGUGGAGACCAGGGUCAGAAAACGGCACACAGGGCUCCCUUCACCUUGCCCAUGGGGAUUAACCCUUUGUACCCUGCUCUGACCUUAGGCCUGGGACACUGCAGAAGGGCAGUUGAAGCCAGGUGACUCGGUUUCCCCCAGGGCUCCACAGGCUUCUGGGGAUCUGGGGAGGUCACAGUGCUCUGUGUUUCUCAGGGCAUUGCUUGUUCACCUCCUCACCUGGCAGAUGGGGAAACUGAGACCUAGAAAAGAGAAGGUGGUCUCUUGCGGGGACUCUGUGAGCCCCCAGUUUCUACCCCGCUUCUCGUCUGUACGUUGGGCAUGGAAGCAGGAAUUCUGGACACACUAAACUGUUAGUUAGAGACCAUCAAACCACGAUCAUUCUGCCUGUGGGGAAGCUGAGGCGCAGAGAGGAAAAGGAACGUACCCAAGUUCCCAUCGCUGGUUGGCUGUGGGGCAAGGAUGAUGACGAUGAUGAUGAUGACGACGACAACCAUAAGAAUAAAAACCAACAGUUCUCGUGCUUAUUGUGCACUGGGGCCUGUUCUAAGUACUUUAUGAUCACCGACUCAUUUAGUCUUUACAAUAGCCCCAGGAGGUAGGAAUUUAUUAGUAUCCGCAUUUGACAGAUGAAGGGACUGAGGCACAGACAGGUUAAGUCACUUACUGAGGGUCACACAGCUAAUCUGUAGUGGAUCCAUG
rnacentral:lncRNA from 1 species